rnacentral:misc_RNA from 1 species
UAGCUGCGUUAAACGGUGUGAAUUGCAGGACACGCCGAGCACUUGAUUUUCGAACGCACAUUGCGGCUACGGGUUCGUCCCGUAGCCUCGUCUGUCUGAGGGUCGGAUAACUUAUUAACUGUAAUACAGGCUCUUUCGUGGGGACCCCAUUCGGGGACCUCUCGUAGAGUAGUAAGACUGCGCUGCGCCCACAGUGGCGGCGGUCCGAGACGUCAUGUCAGCACUUCUUGUUGUUGCACUUGGCUAUGUACGGGUUCCGUCGUCCGCGGCAAAGCGCCCGACUAAGGAAAAGCUCUUCGGAGUGGACCCUCACAAAGUUACUUUACUUUGUCGACCUCAGAUCAGGCGAGAUUACCCGCUGAACUUAA